CUAAUACAUGCAAGUCGAGCGAAUGGAUUAAGAGCUUGCUCUUAUGAAGUUAGCGGCGGACGGGUGAGUAACACGUGGGUAACCUGCCCAUAAGACUGGGAUAACUCCGGGAAACCGGGGCUAAUACCGGAUAACAUUUUGAACCGCAUGGUUCGAAAUUGAAAGGCGGCUUCGGCUGUCACUUAUGGAUGGACCCGCGUCGCAUUAGCUAGUUGGUGAGGUAACGGCUCACCAAGGCAACGAUGCGUAGCCGACCUGAGAGGGUGAUCGGCCACACUGGGACUGAGACACGGCCCAGACUCCUACGGGAGGCAGCAGUAGGGAAUCUUCCGCAAUGGACGAAAGUCUGACGGAGCAACGCCGCGUGAGUGAUGAAGGCUUUCGGGUCGUAAAACUCUGUUGUUAGGGAAGAACAAGUGCUAGUUGAAUAAGCUGGCACCUUGACGGUACCUAACCAGAAAGCCACGGCUAACUACGUGCCAGCAGCCGCGGUAAUACGUAGGUGGCAAGCGUUAUCCGGAAUUAUUGGGCGUAAAGCGCGCGCAGGUGGUUUCUUAAGUCUGAUGUGAAAGCCCACGGCUCAACCGUGGAGGGUCAUUGGAAACUGGGAGACUUGAGUGCAGAAGAGGAAAGUGGAAUUCCAUGUGUAGCGGUGAAAUGCGUAGAGAUAUGGAGGAACACCAGUGGCGAAGGCGACUUUCUGGUCUGUAACUGACACUGAGGCGCGAA
rnacentral:rRNA from 1 species